ensembl:lncRNA
GUACAAACAGGCUUUAUGUACGCUUUUGUGCUUUGGCUCGACAUCUUGUACUUCUGAUGCUGGCGUGACAAGAACAUUCUCUGAGUGAUCACUGGUCCUCGUUAGAGAGACCUGGAGACCCACAGACUGAAGCAGGGCUGCUCCAGCCAACUUGCAGAACUGUACAGGAGAGAAGUGUCACUGCGAGCCGCUAAGACUCAAAGACGACUUGUUACACAGCACUAUUACUACAGCAGGUGACUAACGCAGUACCCCUCUAAACUUUUUUUUAUCUUUUCCAAAUCUUACAUAUGCAUGUGUGUAUAUAUUUUUUACUUUUCUAUAUUUUUCUUUACCAUAUAUAUAAUCAUUUUUAUUUACUUUUAUUAUUAAAGAUGUCAAUAGGUAGGUGAAUUUUGAAUUUUCUUUAAAUACUAAAAAUAUUAAUAAAUGUUAUAUUUUUAAAAAGGAGGUUUGGAAGGCGGCCAGGGAAGAGUUUUAUUUAUGACAGUUGUGGGGAGACUUGGAUGCCACGUACGACAGAAGUCUAUGCUUCUUUGCUUUUCACUGAAGUCUGCAUAUCACUUUGCAGCUGGCGCAGUCACCUGCAGGAACUCGUUUGCUGUGAAGGAGUUGGCGAUGGGGGGAGAGCUAAUGGAAAGCUGGUGUUUACUCUGUGAUUGGCAUGCAGGCCCGCCUCAGGCUCAUGAAGAUGUUCUGUUUUUUUUUUUUUCAUUUUUAAAACGUAUAAAAACGAUUUCACCAUAACAGAGGUGCUCAGUUAUAAACCAAGCUGAACGGAAGAGCUUCGGCUGAAGAGCGGCCGUCUCCUGACAUACACCCCGCACCCCACCUCCCGUCCUGCACGCUCCUGGACAGCCUUUCUCAACAGUCCCUGCCUGAGCUGCUCCGGUGGCCGUGGCCGGAAGCCUAGACGGUGGUACGCUUCUUCCUCUGCUUCUUCACUUGUCCAGCUAGAGAGUGGCUACUGUCCUUGCUGGGGUCUGUGAGGGUUUAAUUGACUUACUCACCCUCUUCUCCGCCUCCCCCAGUGAGGGACAGGUAUGUUCUUUUUCUUACCUAAGUUGGUUCCCUGAAUGGCGGUUGGGGAGGGGUCUCUUAACACCAGGUGGGGCAUGCUGAAAGCUGGGCUUCCUGUGGGGGUGGGUGGGUGGUGCCCAGGUGCCCUGAAUCCCUGUUGGAGGUAGGCAAUUCUGGGGCACAAUCCCUCUGUCCUGAGGGCCCAGUGGUCUGCAGGGCAGAUGUUUCAUAACCAUCGCACGCCCAGUCCCCUUCUUGUUCCAGCCACCCACCCUCUCAAAGGCCAGGGGCUCCCCUGCUCCUCUGAAUCCUGUCUCCUUCAUUACUCCCCUGCUUCAUUUCAUGGCUCCGCGUGGCCCCAUCCACUUUCUUGUCUUCCAGAAAACUGCUGAACUUUCUCAUUCACUGAUGACCAUCCCUCGUGGGUACAUUUCUCUCUUACUUCUCUUUAUUUCUCUCCUUUACUCAGUCUGUCUCUGCAACGGGAAGACCACAUCGCCACAUCAGCGUCUUAAACAGGUCUCAAGACACCAAACAGAGGCUUGAGGUUGGCAGCCAGAGCCGGCCCCGGGUGGACAGUCUACAAAGGGAACCUGCCCACGAUCUUCCUAUAAUGGCUUGCCUGAGCCUUUCUCGGGUCCCUUUAUAGAUGUUCCGGGUGAUUCCAUCUUGGCUUUAAAACAAUUGCUCGCCCCGGGGGCAAUUUGGGGAGUUUCAAGUCAUCUUU